UACGUAGGGGGCUAGCGUUAUCCGGAAUUAUUGGGCGUAAAGAGCGCGCAGGUGGUUAAUUAAGUCUGAUGUGAAAGCCCACGGCUUAACCGUGGAGGGUCAUUGGAAACUGGUUGACUUGAGUGCAGAAGAGGGAAGUGGAAUUCCAUGUGUAGCGGUGAAAUGCGUAGAGAUAUGGAGGAACACCAGUGGCGAAGGCGGCUUCCUGGUCUGCAACUGACACUGAGGCGCGAAAGCGUGGGGAGCAAACAGG
rnacentral:rRNA from 1 species